GACGAACGCUGGCGGCGUGCUUAACACAUGCAAGUCGAACGGAAAGGCCCUGCUUUUGUGGGGUGCCCGAGUGGCGAACGGGUGAGUAACACGUGAGUAACCUGCCCUUGACUUUGGGAUAACUUCGGGAAACUGGGGCUAAUACCGGAUAGGAGCUCCUGCUGCAUGGUGGGGGUUGGAAAGUUUCGGCGGUUGGGGAUGGACUCGCGGCUUAUCAGCUUGUUGGUGGGGUAGUGGCUUACCAAGGCUUUGACGGGUAGCCGGCCUGAGAGGGUGACCGGCCACAUUGGGACUGAGAUACGGCCCAGACUCCUACGGGAGGCAGCAGUGGGGAAUAUUGCACAAUGGGCGGAAGCCUGAUGCAGCAACGCCGCGUGCGGGAUGACGGCCUUCGGGUUGUAAACCGCUUUCGCCUGUGACGAAGCGUGAGUGACGGUAAUGGGUAAAGAAGCACCGGCUAACUACGUG
rnacentral:rRNA from 1 species